UGGACACCUUCAUCUUCCUCUAGUCCCACUCUGAGUUACAGAAGCAGUGGAAACAUCACUUUGCAAGAGACUGAUGGCUCUCUAAUGAGAACUUAGAGCAAAUCACUCAGUUGUCAGUUCAGCAUCUGGCAGAGCUCAGGGGAUCACCUCCUGCAUUGAAUGCAAGUUCUUUACCACUGAGUCACCAGGGAAACCCCUAGAAGGUAUAGUGAAUACUAAUUAUGACAAAGCUCAGCUAGAUGGGAGCUGGAGUAUGGAGUUGGGGAAGAGAACAGAAAAGCAAAACAAAAUAAGCAAACAAAAUGAUGGAGACAGCAGACAAACAGGGCCAAGCAGCCUGCAGAAUCUUAGCUCCCUGACCAGGGAUAGAACCCAUACACCUGGCAGUGGAAGCACAAAAUCUUAACUGGAAGAUCACCAGGGAAGCACCCAGAAUGAGUCAUUUUAAAUCGAAAACAGAUAAACUGUUCUCGACCCAUCCUCCUGAUUUAUUUAUCAAAAGAAAAAAAAAGAUCCCUUUAAAA